AUACGGGCCCUGUGCGGCAAGGCGCUGUGAACCAUGUCAGGCGGGGAACCGAGCAGCAUUAAGCAGUUUGCUUUGUGCGCCGCAGGCAAACCUGUAUAUC
rnacentral:SRP_RNA from 1 species